AACGCACAUUGCGCCCCCUGGUAUUCCGGGGGGCAUGCCUGUUCGAGCGUCAUUACAACCAAUCCAGCCCCGCUGGGUAUUGGGCGUCGCGGCCUGCCGCGCGCCUCAAAGUCUUCGGCGGAAGCCGCCCGUUCCUCUGCGUGAUGACACAUCGUCGCUUGGGACACGGGGGUGAGCGCCCGGAAAACAUCGGCGGAGACGUCGAUUUCAAGGUUGACCUCGGAUCAGGUAGGGAUACCCGCUGAACUUAA
rnacentral:misc_RNA from 1 species